CAAUAAGAGAUUAUUAAUAUUCAAAUGAAAGUGAUGAAAGAGAGUAAAUAUUUUAAUGCUCAAUUAUAUUUUAAUGUUAUUUUUUUUUACAUAAGGGUUUAUUUAUGUUUUCAAUUUUGAAGUUCCCUUUCCAAGUCUAGCAACAAAAGUAGUGUCCAACCUUAAAAUGGGCAUGUGUGGUAUUGACGGGAGAUGAUAAGAUGGAAAUCAUAACCAUAACCAUGUUCUCUCUAUGUCUUUCUAUCCUAUUCAAUUAAUUCAUGGGCAUAGAUAUUUUAUUUAGUUUUUAUAUUUAGUUUAUUUAUAGUUUAUUUAGUUUCUAAAAUCCAAUUAGCUAGAUAUUUUAUUUGAUUUUGUUUUUAUAUUUAAGUAGUUGAGUUUUGGAAAGUUUUUAUAUUUUGUUAAUAGAAAUAGAUAUGAGGACUUAGAGGGUUUAUAUUUAGGUAGUGCUUGAGCCAAGGAAAAUGAUAGUCCAUUAUCUUGACCCUAUGCAUCACAAACCAUGUGAGGACUUAAAUGACAUCGUAAACAUGUAAGUUCUUCCUAUUAUUUUUCAUAGUAUUAUUUUUAAAUAAAAAAAUACAUUCACCUCAAACACAUUUUUUUUAUUAUUUAUAUAUAUAUAUUAAAACAUAUAACAUUUACCUAUUUUAAAAAUGUACCCAUUGAACUUAUUUACAUAGGGCUCUUCGAAUAUUUGCAAAGAAAACAUCUAAGAGGGAGCCAUCUUAGCAACUAGUGCAGGUGACAUCCAAAAAAUUUUCUUUACACAUUAGCUUAUGCAUUUGCACCAUUUAUAUAUGUGAGUACUAAUGUUAUUUUAUAAUUGAUCGAUUAGUGUCCAAGAGAAGAAGGAGGGUUCGAAUGUGACUACUUUGUUAUGAGAUUCACUAAAAAGAUAAUUUUUUUAUCCUACAAUUAUUGCUUCAAAGUUUGGUGAUAAAAAAAAACAUAUUCUCAAGUAGAAUUCGAUGAAAUUAGAGGAGAAUGGGCUACUUUUGUGCUACAACUAAUCAUGAAUCAUGUUGAUGCAUCAUGAUCACCAUGCAUGGUAUACACUCUUGGGAGGGUGAAAUGGAGAAUAAAAAAGAAGAAGAAGGCAACAAGAUUUUGGGUUUUUAAAUGCAACUCUUAUGUCAUACGUUAUAGGACAUAAACGUUACUUUAAUUGCAACUGAGAAGUUUAGAUUUUUAGAUGGGACUUUUAUGUCAUUUUAUGGUUAGCCGGUUUUAUGCUUAUGAAAUGGAGGUAUACAUGAAUCUUGGGAUCUUUAACAUUUCUGAAUCAUGUUUUGGUAUGUAUUCACCCUUCUUUUUUAGUUUUAAUGGGUUUGAUAUGUUGGACGUACUAUCCUUUUGUGAACAUUUGAUAUACAAAUAUCAUUAGAUGAUUAAUGUAUUAUGAGUUAUUCCAGAAACAUUACAGAAAAAUGAGUUAAAUAUAAUAUGAUUGUUAUAUUUAUGGACAAAAUAUAAACA